GUGCCAGCAGCCGCGGUAAUACAGAGGGUGCGAGCGUUAAUCGGAGUUACUGGGCGUAAAGGGUGCGUAGGCGGUUAAGUGAGUGUGAUGUGAAAGCCCCGGGCUUAACCUGGGAAGUGCAUCGCAAACGACUUAACUGGAGUAGAUGAGAGGGUGAUGGAAUUUCCGGUGUAGCGGUGAAAUGCGUAGAGAUCGGAAGGAACGUCGAUGGCGAAGGCAGUCACCUGGCAUCAUACUGACGCUGAGGCACGAAAGCGUGGGGAGCGAACAGGAUUAGAUACCCCGGUAGUCC
rnacentral:rRNA from 1 species